rnacentral:sRNA from 1 species
UCUAACCAACUGAGCUACGGACGCACAUAAAAUAAUUUUCUCUAUUAACCAUAAAUUUGGUGCGUCCGAGUGGACUCGAACCACCGACCCCCACCA